GCGCUCGUGGCUUUGCACUACGGAUCAGAAGGUUAGGGGUUCGAGUCCCUUCGGGCGCG
rnacentral:tRNA from 1 species